UACAGAGGUCCCAAGCGUUGUUCGGAUUCAUUGGGCGUAAAGGGUGUGUAGGUGGCGCCGUAAGUCGGGUGUGAAAUUUCGGAGCUUAACUCCGAAACUGCAUUCGAUACUGCGGUGCUUGAGGACUGGAGAGGAGACUGGAAUUCAUGGUGUAGCAGUGAAAUGCGUAGAUAUCUGGAGGAACACCGGUGGCGAAGGCGGCAUCCUGGACCGACAUUGACGCUGAGGCGCGAAAGCCAGGGGAGCAAACGGG
rnacentral:rRNA from 1 species